rnacentral:lncRNA from 1 species
AAAGGCUUUUCGCACUCACCAGAUCCAAGAAGUAGAAAAUACCGGGUCUGUUUCUCACUGCAGCCCACAGCACAGCCACCACCAACGGCACGGGUCUGCCCUCCUUCAGGAAAGUCUGAAGCAAUGAGCCCUAGCAGAGAGAAAAAAAUGAAAGAUAUAUUUGCAGGAAACAAAAGUGAAACUAAAGCUCUUUCUUUGUUUCCCCUGCAGCAUAAACAUUUCCAGGAAAAAGAAAAGGACUUUAACUUGGUCAGAGAAUGAAAGAAGCCUGGAAGAUUCAAGGCCAGGAAGACAUUUCCACUUGGCCUGUGAAGGGUCACUCGGCCAAGACAUCAGGGGAAUGAGUUCUCUGAAGCCAAAGGAUUCCUGGGGACAAGGAUGAAAGAGAUGAGGGGUUUUCCAAAGACGCCAGUGAAUGACUGAAACACACUGCCCAUCGGGAAGGACUGUGCCAUGCGUCUGCCUCCUUGUCCUUCUCAGGAACACUGUGGCUGACUAACCUCAUUUCAGCCCCAAGGCACCCAUGAACCUGGGGUCUCACAGGAUCCAGAGCCACCAAGACAACUCAGGAAAGAGAGUAAUGGAGUCUUCCUAGUUUCCUUUCUCAUUUUAUCUACCUCAGGAUUCCCUCAUGAGAGCGUAGUCUGGCACAAAGUGAAGACAGGUUUUCCAAAAACAUCAUUUGAUGCAAUGAGAUAAUCCCUCACAGGUUUUGUUGGUUUUAACGUUUAUCACCAUGGAGGAAAGACAUUUGCUGCCAUGUUGGGAAAAGAAGCUGUUGCUGACAUGUUCUGUCCUUGGUGAAGUCUGUCUCUGAACAUGGAUGGUUUGGGUUAUAUUGACAGUGUUUCUGCAUAAUUUUUUGUUUUGUUUUGUUUUGGUUUGGUUUUUGUUGUUGUUGUUGUUGUUUUGUAUUUUUGAGACAGGGUUUCUCUGUAUAGCCCUGGCUGUCCUGGAACUUACUUUGUAGACCAGGCUGGCCUCGAACUCAGAAAUCUUCCUGCCUCUGCUUCCCGAGUGCUGGGAUUAAAGGCAUGUACCACCACGCCCGGAGUUUCUGCGUAAUUUUAACACAUGUAAUCAGAUAUGAAGAACAGAUUACAUGCUCCUGUUAAUUAAAAUGGUGUCUUUUUUUUC